rnacentral:rRNA from 1 species
GCGUAGGUGAUGGACAACAGGUUGAUAUUCCUGUACUACCGAUAACCGUUUGAGAGAAGGGAUGACACAGUAGGAUAAGCUAAGCACACUGUUGGUUAUGUGUGCCCAAGCAUUGAGGCAGUCAAAGUAGGCAAAUCCGCUUUGAUAAUGCUGGGAUGUGAUGGGGAGCGAAAUUUAGUAGCGAAGUAGCUGAUUUCACACUGUCAAGAAAAGGCUCUAUCGAGGUUAAAGGUACCCGUACCGCAAACCGACACAGGUGGGUGAGGAGAGUAUCCUAAGGCCAGCGAGAGAACUGUUGUUAAGGAACUCGGCAAAAUGACCCCGUAACUUAGGGAUAAGGGGUGCCACCAUCAGGUGGCCGCAGAGAAUAGGCCCAAGCGACUGUUUACCAAAAACAUAGGUUUCUGCUAAGUCG